rnacentral:rRNA from 1 species
AGAGUUUGAUCCUGGCUCAGAGUGAACGCUGGCGGUAGGCCUAACACAUGCAAGUCGAACGGCAGCACAGGAGAGCUUGCUCUCUGGGUGGCGAGUGGCGGACGGGUGAGGAAUACAUCGGAAUCUACCUUUUCGUGGGGGAUAACGUAGGGAAACUUACGCUAAUACCGCAUACGACCUACGGGUGAAAGUGGGGGACCGCAAGGCCUCACGCGAUUAGAUGAGCCGAUGUCCGAUUAGCUAGUUGGCGGGGUAAUGGCCCACCAAGGCGACGAUCGGUAGCUGGUCUGAGAGGAUGAUCAGCCACACUGGAACUGAGACACGGUCCAGACUCCUACGGGAGGCAGCAGUGGGGAAUAUUGGACAAUGGGCGCAAGCCUGAUCCAGCCAUACCGCGUGGGUGAAGAAGGCCUUCGGGUUGUAAAGCCCUUUUGUUGGGAAAGAAAUCCUGUCGGUUAAUAACCGGUGGGGAUGACGGUACCCAAAGAAUAAGCACCGGCUAACUUCGUGCCAGCAGCCGCGGUAAUUC